CAGAGAAUAGUUUAUGUAAAAUGUUAAUUUUGGAGGUUAAUGAUAAGGGUUCUUCUUUUCUCUGA
rnacentral:tRNA from 1 species